GGGCAGGUGGUGGGGAGGGUUGGGUUCAGGAGAGAAAUAGUGGCAAACGGUAUAAGCAGUUUUGAAGAAGCCAUUUCCGCCCCCCUGUAUUGCCCAAGCCACCCCUGGGGCUCUUGCUGAAGUCUCAACAGCCCAAAACAUUAAUCCAGUCCCUCCACCACCAAGACCCUAGACUCCCAGACAUUAGUGAGUGAGGUCUACAAUCUGGAACCCUGUGGUUAUUUUCUACAACUCACAGAUUAUUAACAACAAUGAAUGACAGAGACUGAGGAGGAGCCUGAGACUGUUCGUGGACAUCCUGUGAAUAUCAGGAAACAUUUUGGAGGGGUUAGAAGAAGGGGAUGUGGCAUUCACAUGUGUGCUUCCAUGGAUUCCAGUCCAUCUUCUCUUGGAAACAAUCAUACCCUGGCAAGUGACCUUUCCUAAGCAAGAACAAAGGUGUUAAAAAGGCUUCCAUCCUCUACUUGCUUUCCUGUGCCCAAA
rnacentral:lncRNA from 1 species